AACGAACGCUGGCGGCAUGCUUAACACAUGCAAGUCGAACGGAUAGCUUGCUAUCAGUGGCGCACGGGUGAGUAACACGUGGGAACCUACCUUUAGUUUGGGAUAACUUUGGGAAACUAAGGCUAAUACCGGAUACGCUUUGCAGCUUGGCGCUGUAAAGGAAAGAUUUAUCGCUAAAAGAUGGGCCCGCGGUGGAUUAGCUUGUUGGUGGGGUAAAGGCUUACCAAGGCAACGAUCCAUAGCUGGUCUGAGAGGAUGAUCAGCCACACUGGGACUGAGAUACGGCCCAGACUCCUACGGGAGGCAGCAGUGGGGAAUAUUGGACAAUGGGCGAAAGCCUGAUCCAGCAAUGCCGCGUGAGUGAAGAAGGUCUUCGGAUUGUAAAGCUCUUUCACGGGUGAAGAUAAAUGACGGUAACCCGAGAAGAAGCCCGGCUAACUUCGUGCCAGCAAGCCGCGGUAAACACGAGAGUAA
rnacentral:rRNA from 1 species